UGCGUAGGUGGUGCCGUAAGUCAGGUGUGAAAUUUCGGAGCUCAACUCCGAAACUGCAUUUGAUACUGCGGUGCUUGAGGACUGGAGAGGAGACUGGAAUUCACGGUGUAGCAGUGAAAUGCGUAGAUAUCGUGAGGAAGACCAGUGGCGAAGGCGGGUCUCUGGACAGUUCCUGACACUGAGGCACGAAGGCCAGGGGAGCAAACG
rnacentral:rRNA from 1 species